GCGGGAGGAUGCCUCGCGCCCUGCCUAGGCGUUAACGGCCUCAGCGCGUCCCGGGCCGCGCCGGGAACGCCUGAGAGCCGAGCCCGCGCUGACCGGGGCCCGGGCCGGAUGGGCGCUGCGGGCCGGGGCGCGGACCGCGGAGCGGCCGUUACGUUUUUCUCUCGUCCCAGCUGUGUGGACAGUGCCACACGCCCUCCUGGACAACGACGGCUCUUGCGUGCAUUUUCCAGUGUUGCUUUUGUCAGAGAGGCCAGCAGAGCCACGGUUCUUCCAGAACCAGCCCUGAGCUGAGUGAGGAGUGCCCAGGAGAGAUGGUGAAAAUGACAAAGUCCAAAACUUUCCAAGCGUAUCUGCCGAACUGUCACCGAACGUACAGCUGUAUCCACUGCAGAGCACACCUGGCCAAUCAUGACGAGCUCAUCUCCAAGGCAAGUGGCUUAUGCCAAAAAAUUGAUGGCACAAUGAUUAUCUGUCAUUGUGGUACCUACAUAGUGGAAGAAUAUUUAAGCAUCACAUGACUUCCUGAGUCUGCUGUGUCCUGAACGUCUAGAGCCUUCUAGGCAGCAUUGUCACUUGCAGAAUGUUGACGCAGCAGAAUCAGCCACUCCUGUCUACAAUGAAAAACAGCUUGCAGCUCCGUUAAGUGGCUGUUAUUAGAAGUGGAGUUCUGGAGGGGGGACGCCGGUGUCUGCUCCCGGUGACGCAUCCCGGCGCAGCUAACAGCCGCGGGGCUGGACUCCCCUGGCUCUGGGCAGCACCGCUUCGUUCCAGAAAGCACUCGCAGCCAAUCUCACGGGACCUUCUUCUUUCAGUCCUUUCAGGGGAGCCAGGGACGUGCCUACCUCUUCAAUUCCGUGGUGAACGUGGGCUGCGGCCCUGCAGAGGAGAGGGUCCUUCUCACCGGGCUGCAUGCGGUUGCCGACAUCUACUGCGAGAACUGCAAGACCACGCUCGGGUGGAAAUACGAGCAUGCCUUUGAGAGCAGUCAGAAAUAUAAGGAAGGAAAAUUCAUCAUUGAGCUUGCUCACAUGAUCAAAGACAAUGGCUGGGAGUAAUGUGCGAACUUUCCCUUCUCCUUCGAAUGCUGUUUUGUGAAAGAAACUGUGAAUGUAAUGGAAACGUAGGAGCAUCUGGUGACAGCCUUUCUUGCCCUCUGACCUCAAAGGCUAGCUGCGCAUAGCUCUUGACACUCUCGGCCAUCUCUGUGGGUAAGGUGUCCCUCGGAUCUGUCCUCUUCGUGUACACAGUUGUUUCUGAAAAUUUUCAAUGAACUUUUUCUAACUUCUCAAGUUCUAGAGAAAGAAUUAACCAACUGAUGA
rnacentral:sRNA from 1 species